GAGGACACAAAGGCCUUUCUUGGAGUGCGUCGGUCGAUCCGAGUUUAGGAAGUCUGUAUCAUCAAGAAAAAACUGCAGGUGGCUGGAAGCUGCCGAUCAGCUGCCAGUCUGGAUAGUAGCCAUCAACUCAGCAAAGGCCUGCAGGCGAAUCAGCCCAACCUGUUUCUCUGCUGCCCUUCAAGACAGGAUGCUUUGUGAAAAGUGAAACGGGGCCCAUGCACCGCUUCCGCAGAGCCCUGCUAUGGGAGCUCAUGGAGGUGGCACGGUGCAUGGAAGGAC